CGCGGGGGCAACCCUGGCGGCGAGCGGCGGACGGGUGAGUAAUACAUCGGAACGUGUCCUAUCGUGGGGGAUAACCAGUCGAAAGACUGGCUAAUACCGCAUGAGAUCGAAAGAUGAAAGCGGGGGACCGCAAGGCCUCGCGCGAUUGGAGCGGCCGAUGUCGGAUUAGCUAGUUGGCGGGGUAAGAGCCCACCAAGGCUACGAUCCGUAGCUGGUUUGAGAGAACGACCAGCCACACUGGGACUGAGACACGGCCCAGACUCCUACGGGAGGCAGCAGUGGGGAAUUUUGGACAAUGGGGGCAACCCUGAUCCAGCCAUGCCGCGUGUGUGAAGAAGGCCUUCGGG
rnacentral:rRNA from 1 species